GAUGAACGCUGGCGGCGUGCCUAAUACAUGCAAGUCGAGCGAACAGACGAGGAGCUUGCUCCUCUGACGUUAGCGGCGGACGGGUGAGUAACACGUGGAUAACCUACCUAUAAGACUGGGAUAACUUCGGGAAACCGGAGCUAAUACCGGAUAACAUGUUGAACCGCAUGGUUCAACAGUGAAAGACGGUCUUGCUGUCACUUAUAGAUGGAUCCGCGCCGCAUUAGCUAGUUGGUAAGGUAACGGCUUACCAAGGCAACGAUGCGUAGCCGACCUGAGAGGGUGAUCGGCCACACUGGAACUGAGACACGGUCCAGACUCCUACGGGAGGCAGCAGUAGGGAAUCUUCCGCAAUGGGCGAAAGCCUGACGGAGCAACGCCGCGUGAGUGAUGAAGGUCUUCGGAUCGUAAAACUCUGUUAUUAGGGAAGAACAAAUGUGUAAGUAACUAUGCACGUCUUGACGGUACCGAAUCAGAAAGCCACGGCUAACUACGU
rnacentral:rRNA from 1 species